GACCGCGUAGCUCAGUUGGAAGAGCAUUGGGCUAGUAUUCCAAAGGUCGUAGGUUCGAAUCCCACCGUCGCCG